UACGUAGGCAGCAAGCGUUGUUCGGAGUUACUGGGCGUAAAGGGUGUGUAGGCGGUUAUUUAAGUUUGGUGUGAAAUCUCCCGCUCAACCGGGAGGGUGCGCCGAAUACUGAAUGACUUGGAGUGCGGGAGAGGAAAGUGGAAUUCCUGGUGUAGCGGUGAAAUGCGUAGAUAUCUACAGGAAUGCCGAUGGUGAAGACGGGCAACUGGGCCUUUCCUGACGCUGAGGCACGAAAGCGUGGGGAGCAAACAGG
rnacentral:rRNA from 1 species